rnacentral:rRNA from 1 species
GCGAACGCUGGCGGCAGGCUUAACACCUGCAAGUCGAGCGGGCCUUUCGGGGUCAGCGGCGGACGGGUGAGUCACGCGUGGGAACGUGCCCUCUGGUUCGGAAUAACUCAGGGAAACUUGAGCUAAUACCGGAUACGCCCUUUUGUGGAAAGGCUUGCUGCCGGAGGAUCGGCCCGCGUCUGAUUAGCUAGUUGGUGAGGUAACGGCUCACCAAGUCGAAGAUCAGUAGCUGGUCUGAGAGGAUGAUCAGCCACACUGGGACUGAGACACGGCCCAGACUCCUACGGGAGGCAGCAGUGGGGAAUAUUGGACAAUGGGCGCAAGCCUGAUCCAGCCAUGCCGCGUGAGUGAUGAAGGCCUUAGGGUUGUAAAGCUCUUUUAUCCGGGAAGAUAAUGACGGUACCGGAGGAAUAAGCCCCGGCUAACUUCGUG